rnacentral:misc_RNA from 1 species
AAGUCGUAACAAGGUUUCCGUAGGUGAACCUGCGGAAGGAUCAUUCAUAAAUUGUCUAAUCAUAUGGACAUUUUAAAUCCAUAUCCACCUUGUGUGCAUUGUUAUUAGUUUGCUUUGGUAUACUUUUGUAAGUGGUUUAAAAGUUUUUAUAUUUUUAUUUCACUUCUACUCUUUGUUUUACAAGGGGUUGGGUAUGCCAGAGUUAAAUAUUUAAACACCUUUUGAAAUUCUUUUGUCUGAAAACUUUUGAACUUAUAAUUCAAAAUACAACUUUCAACAACGGAUCUCUAGGUUCUC